rnacentral:rRNA from 1 species
CUACGUGCCAGCAGCCGCGGUAAUACGGAGGGUGCAAGCGUUAAUCGGAAUUACUGGGCGUAAAGCGCACGCAGGCGGUUGAUUGAGUCAGAUGUGAAAUCCCCGGGCUUAACCCGGGAAUUGCAUCUGAUACUGGUCAGCUAGAGUCUUGUAGAGGGGGGUAGAAUUCCAUGUGUAGCGGUGAAAUGCGUAGAGAUGUGGAGGAAUACCGAUGGCGAAGGCAGCCAUCUGGCCUAACACUGACGCUGAGGUGCGAAAGCAUGGGGAGCAAACAGGAUUAGAUACCCUGGUAGUCCAUGCCGUAAACGAUGUCUACUAGCCGUUGGGGCCUUUGAGGCUUUAGUGGCGCAGCUAACGCGAUAAGUAGACCGCCUGGGGAGUACGGUCGCAAGACUAAAACUCAAAUGAAUUGACGGGGGCCCGCACAAGCGGUGGAGCAUGUGGUUUAAUUCGAUGCAACGCGAAGAACCUUACCUGG